UGAGGAAUAUUGGUCAAUGGGCGAGAGCCUGAACCAGCCAAGUAGCGUGCAGGAUGACGGCCCUAUGGGUUGUAAACUGCUUUUAUAUGGGAAUAAAGUGAGGGACGUGUCCCUUAUUGCAUGUACCAUACGAAUAAGGACCGGCUAAUUCCGUGCCAGCAGCCGCGGUAAUACGGAAGGUCCAGGCGUUAUCCGGAUUUAUUGGGUUUAAAGGGAGCGUAGGCUGUUUGUUAAGCGUGGUGUGAAAUGUAGGAGCUCAACUUUUAGAUUGCAGCGCGAACUGGCAGACUUGAGUGCGCACAACGUAGGCGGAAUUCAUGGUGUGGCGGUGAAAUGCUUAGAUAUCAUGACGAACUCCGAUUGCGAAGGCAGCUUACGGGAGCGCAACUGACGCUAAAGCUCGAAGGUGCGGGUAUCGAACAGG
rnacentral:rRNA from 1 species